UUACGGCCAUAUCACGUUGAGACAUCGGUCCUCGUACGAUCACCGAAGUUAAACAACAUCGAGUCUGGUCAGUACCUACAGGGGUAACCGCUUGGGAAUACCAGGUGAUGUAAG